AAUUGAAGAGUAUUUAAAAUAUUUAAAAAUAAUAUAAUCAUUAUUAUAAUUGACUUUGGAGUAUUUUCCCCAGCUGAAAAGGAAAUCUUGUACUAAUUUAGUUGCCCACAACCAUUCUGAACUUUCACUCCCAUGGCUCUGGGUAACAGCUAAUUGCCUUCUGUCUCUAUAAACUUGAUUAUUAUGGUAUAUAAGCUUUAUUUUCAUUUCUCUGAGUUAGGGAAUCUGUAGUGUGUUUUCAAGAAGAGCAAUUACUAAUAUCAUUUGGAUUUUUUUUUUUUUUACUAUGGUCAGUGAUUUCUAAUUUAUGUGUUGUUAACUAACUGCCAGUUGCCUUUUUAAAAAAUACUUCAAAGAUUUGCCUAACCUGUAGGAAGCCUUGGGUUCGAUCACUAGCUAAACACACACGCACGUGCAGACAGACACAUACAUGCAUACACACAUGCACACAUACAACACACUCAUCUAUUACCUUCUGGCCACCUGGCUUGAUGAAGAAAUUUCUCAGUUGCAUUUUUUGAGCAUGUAUUCAGUGGUGAGAAAAUAAUACAAUAUGUUCUUCAUGUUGCUUUUUUAGACUUAAAAUGUAAAUUUCUAAUCAUAUGCAUGCGUGUAUCUCUGUGUUGAAUAUGCAAAUAUAAAUGCAGAUGCCUGUGGAGGCCAGACAAGGGUAUCAGAUUCCAGAGCCAGAGUAACAGGUAGUUGUAAGAUGUCAGGUAGCUACUGGGAACCAAGCUUCAGUUCUCUGAGUCAUUUCUCUAUCCCCAGUAAGAUGUUCAAUAUAUCAAAUUAUUGAUACAUCACAACUUCUCUUAAAUAUAUGUAUAGCUAUUAAGAAAGUUUGAAGAUGAAAUCAAUAUAAAUGAAAAUUUAAUUGAUUAAUUUCACAUAGCUGGUAACAAUGAGGACUAGAUUAAAUUUGAAUUCAGUGUGACUCUUGGCCUUCUAUCAUUAUUCAGGAAAUUCAUCAUGGUAAAGACACUUCAUUGUAAUAGUGCCUAGCCAGGAGAGUUCUGUUCAGGUCAUAAAGACAUGAAGUAUUGGAGUGACUGUCUUAGAUGCUCAUGGUAGGGGCACACCUCUUUUUUUCUUGAGGAAAAGAAAAGUCAUAAUAAGACAGAUGGAGAUGUAGAGAUGGCAAGUUAGCAAAAUUUUGGAUAGUAAAAUGCAGGCUUCACCUUUUGAAUAUCUGAGUGUUAACAAUUUCAUUUAUAAUUUUUUUCACUGAAAACUUAGCCAUUUAUUUUGGUCACACUAUAAUUUUGAAAAUAUUUACCAACGGGAUUUCUUGUGAUACUGAAAAUUAAUAUUUUUAAGAUAGCUUAUAUCUACUAAAAUAUAUGUCUGUUAUACUGAUACUUUAGUAAUGCACAGAUAUUUAUUUAUCACAUUGGUAGACAAACACUGUACUGAGUGCCAAAGACAAAUAGACAGCCAUAGAGGAAAUAUGAUGAACUUCCUGCCCUCGGUUAAUUCACCAUGUUCACCAGAAGGAGUGAUAUGCAUUUUCUCUGUUUUCAUUUUCCCUGUGGGCUAUCCCCAUUCAACUCCCUGAGUUCCAGUUUGAAGCAAUGACUUUGGCAGUUUAUAUACUACACUUAGCAGGGUUUGUGCAGUCAUGGCAUUAGGAAGUGCCAUGUAUAUAUAGAUAUAGAGUUUUUAAAACUCUUUUAAGGAAAUACCAAAAAUACCUAGCAACAGGAAUUCAGUCUUUUGGCUCCUUUGCCUAUAUGGUGUCUACAGAACAUCGUUUUUGCAUUUUCACAAAAGUAAGGAUGUAAACAAAUAUUUCUCAGAGUAUUUCUUGCAACAUGAGAGUUAUUUUUUUCUUUUAUAGGCAUGGAAAAUAAAUAAUCUAUGUUCUAUAUAUAACAAAAUAACAAAGGUAAAGCAGCCCUAGUAUUUUAUCUGUUGCUAUUCUAGACACUACCCUAUUAGAUUAAAAUAAUUACUCAUUUUCCUUGAGGUUUCAAAUUCUCAGAGACCUCAUCUUCAUAAGGCUUGUUGAUAUGGGCUCAGGGCAGACAAUGUUUAAGCUGCCAGUGUUCCUAAGGACCUUGCUGUGACAUAAUUCUUUCUGUUUAAUGCAAAUAACUGAAAGAGAUGUUUCUGUAGGAGAUCAUGGUAAUUUUAUAUAUUAUUUUAUAAUAAAAGAUUCUCCAAACUGCUUUAUGAGUUGGAAAUAGAAAAACUGAACCAUAGGCUGAUGAGGUAAGCAGCUGUACCAUGAAGACCUGGGUAGAUUAAUAAGUUUAUAUAAAGGUAGGUAUCACUUUUGGUGCCCUCUAUUAUUAAUUAAUUAAGGAUGAAUUUUGAAUAGAGCAUGUCAGGUGAUAUCUUAGUCAAUGCAAGCUACUCAUAACUGUAGCUAUAGUUUUCUGUGAAAUAACC
rnacentral:lncRNA from 1 species